AUUGAACGCUGGCGGCAUGCCUUACACAUGCAAGUCGAACGGCAGCACGGGUGCUUGCACCUGGUGGCGAGUGGCGAACGGGUGAGUAAUAUAUCGGAACGUACCUUAUUGUGGGGGAUAACGCAGCGAAAGCUGUGCUAAUACCGCAUAAUCCCUAAGGGGGAAAGCGGGGGACCGUAAGGCCUCGCGCAAUUAGAGCGGCCGAUACCUGAUUAGCUAGUUGGUGAGGUAAAGGCUCACCAAGGCAACGAUCAGUAGCUGGUCUGAGAGGACGAUCAGCCAGACGGGGACUGAGACACGGCCCAGACUCCUGCGGGAGGCAGCGGUGGGGAAUUUUGGACAAUGGGGGCAACCCUGAUCCAGCAAUGCCGCGUGAGUGAAGAAGGCCUUCGGGUUGUAAAGCUCUUUUGUCAGGGAAGAAACAGCAGCUCUAACACAGUUUGCGAAUGACGGUACCUGAAGAAUAAGCACCGGCUAACUACGUGCCAGCAGCCGCCGUAA
rnacentral:rRNA from 1 species